AUUUCACUAAACAAAUAAAUUAAAAUAAUAAGAUAAAUAAAUAAUAAAUGAGUUAAAAACACCCCACUAAUUAAAAUAAAAAUAAAAGUGCAAAUAACGAUAAAUAAAAAACAAUGAAAUUACGAACACCUCACAAAAUAAAAAAAAAAAAGUGAUUAAAACACCUCACCGAUUAAAAUAAAAAAGACAAAUAAAUAUAAAUAAAAUAAAGUUAUAAACACC
rnacentral:lncRNA from 1 species